AGAACGCUGAGGGAGGAGCUUGCUUCUCUGGAUGAGUUGCGAACGGGUGAGUAACGCGUAGGUAACCUGCCUGGUAGUGGGGGAUAACUAUUGGAAACGAUAGCUAAUACCGCAUAAUAGCAGUUGUUGCAUGAUAACUGUUUGAAAGGUGCAAUUGCACCGCUACCAGAUGGACCUGCGUUGUAUUAGCUAGUUGGUGGGGUAACGGCUCACCAAGGCGACGAUACAUAGCCGACCUGAGAGGGUGAUCGGCCACACUGGGACUGAGACACGGCCCAGACUCCUACGGGAGGCAGCAGUAGGGAAUCUUCGGCAAUGGACGGAAGUCUGACCGAGCAACGCCGCGUGAGUGAAGAAGGUUUUCGGAUCGUAAAGCUCUGUUGUAAGAGAAGAACGAGUGUGAGAGUGGAAAGUUCACACUGUGACGGUAUCUUACCAGAAAGGGACGGCUAACUACGUGCCAGCAGCCGCGGUAAUACGUAGGUCCCGAGCGUUGUCCGGAUUUAUUGGGCGUAAAGCGAGCGCAGGCGGUUAGAUAAGUCUGAAGUUAAAGGCUGUGGCUUAACCAUAGUACGCUUUGGAAACUGUUUAACUUGAGUGCAAGAGGGGAGAGUGGAAUUCCAUGUGUAGCGGUGAAAUGCGUAGAUAUAUGGAGGAACACCGGUGGCGAAAGCGGCUCUCUGGCUUGUAACUGACGCUGAGGCUCGAAAGCGUGGGGAGCAAACAGG
rnacentral:rRNA from 1 species